rnacentral:lncRNA from 1 species
AAUAUAAUAGCAUUUAUUUGGAUACAAUUGUGAAUAUAUUUUGUACUAUUUGCACAGAUAUAACAAAGUGUGAUAAGAAAUAUUCUAGACGUUCCGUCCGAGUAUCGUAUUAAAAAGUUCUGUUAAAAUGCAACUUCUGAAUUAUGGUCAAGCGACGUUUUGUCUUAGACAGGUAAGCAUAGUAGAUUGUGAACAUAAUGAAAUUCAGUAUGUAGCAAAAACGAUAUGAACAUUAAAAAGUGUUCGUUCGCGCUUUAUUUACAGCGUUAAUCAACGAUACAAAAUACGUAUUUUCUGGCCUUGUAGGCUACAUGCAUGGAAAGUACUAAAUUAUUUUGAGUCACUACUAGAGGUUUUUCAAACAGGAGAGUUCUACUGCUUUGGAAGCAAUACCAACCUCGUUCUCAGGGCCUUAUGAAGCAAUACAACUCUUCUGAAUGGCGAAAGCCAGUCGAAGGCAUAGAGAUUAUAAAUAACACUAGAGGAGGCAUCGAGUUUAAGAAUUGGGAACGCAGCUAAUGGGGGCCAAAUUCAAGUCCCGGAUAUAAAAUGUGCUCUCAUUGUGCUCUCAUCGUCACCAAUGGGAACACGAAUACACAUCCGGGACUUGAAUUUGCCCCCCAAUAGUCGCGUUCCCUUUUUUUUACUGAAUUAAGAUUACAAUGCCUCCUCUAGUGUUAUUUAUAAUCUCUAUGGUCGAAGGCAUAUGUUUUCUCCUUCCGAACUGUACUAAAUAUAAGAUGUCCGCAACUCUGUUUGAGCAUCGUCGAUACGUUGGCGUCCUACGUGCUUUAAGGUCCAUUUAUCACACGAUACGAAUAGUCGUAUACGCUUGUCAUUCUGGCGGUGUAUGAAAACGACUGCUGACGCCAUUAUUCCUGUUCAUCAGUUUAUGGCGAAAUUUGACAUCUUUACACGCAUUUAUUCGAGUACAUACGCUGUGUAAAUGAGCCUUAAGCCAGUUUUCCACUUCAACCGCACCGUACCGAAACGUACUGGUGAGCAUGCGCAGAUUGAAAAGAGGUUGAAUCAAAAUAAAAGUUCGUCGCAAGUCAACUUUUUCGCCUACUACGGAAGUAUUAACCAAUCAACAUUCACUAAAUUUUGAAAUUUAAAAAUGUUUUUGAUACGCUUCGGUACGGUACGCUUGAAGUGGAAAAUUGGCUUAACAGCGCACACGGCACGAACUUUUCUCCACAAUGUUUAAUUAUGCACCACAUGAAAGUGUCUUGAAAAUCAUGAAGAAUGGCCUUAACAAUUUAUUUACAGCUCAAGUUGUUCCCAAGUUAUCGGGCAAAUUGUGUUAUGACGUUACUCGUUGUGCAAGAUGGCAGCAAAAAGAAGGAAGUCUAAUAUCUCAAAAGUGAUUCAACAACCAUAUUUGGUACAGUUAGUAAGUGCACCUAAGCAAACAUUUUGGAAUGUUUACGUGGUUGUAAUAGCAACACUAUAGGUGACAUGUCUCUCUGUCCAAUUUGUCUAGUUCAUUGCUUCCUACAAAAUAGGAAGGAAUUUUUGUAAUUUCCCUUUAUUACUAUAGUUCGUAUAGGUGCCGUGGUGAAUAUAAACUUUAUUAUAGGAAAUAACAAUUUCGUUCGAAAAUGUUUACAGCAGACAGUGCUAAAAUAAGAGAGAGUUGCUAACUGGUGUGUUGCUAUGACAACCACAUAAACGCCCCAAGAUAUUUGCACAAGUGGACUUACUAACUGUACCAAAUUUCGUUGAAUUACUUCUGAGAUAUUAGACAUCUAUCUUUUUGCCACCAUCUUAAGCACAACCAGUGACGUGACAACACAAAAUACAAAAUGCCUGAUAACUUGGAAAAGAAUAAGCGGUGCAUAUAUUGUUAUGGCCAUUCUUCAUAAUUUUCAAGACACCUUCAAGUUAUGCAUAAACACGGGUAGGGGGGGGGGGGAUUUCAUGUCAUGUGCACUUUAAAUUCCCAAUUGCAUUUAGCACAAAGCCUCAACCCGUUCGAAUUAGACAUGGUUCCUAACGAUAAAAAUUAGUAUAUACCAUAUAUAAUUGAUAACCGUGUACGUAAACAGGAAGUUUCUUAAUACAAUUUAUUUUCAUUGAAUAAAAAUCUUCGUCCGCCAAAAUUUACAAGACAUUUAGGAGUCAGACGCUGUGAAUUCAACAUCCAUUACGCACCAUCUCUUCUGCUGCUCACACUGGAAUAUAUAUUUCUUUAUUUAUGCCCGCUGGUAUGUUGUGCGUAAGAGUAUUGUUCGAAGGCAAGCUAAAAGAUUAAACACAUGUGAUAUUAUAUUCUGGAUGACUGUGGUGAAAUUCUGUUGA